GACGAACGCUGGCGGCGUGCUUAACACAUGCAAGUCGAACGGAAAGGCCCUGCUCUUGUUGGGUGCUCGAGUGGCGAACGGGUGAGUAACACGUGAGUAACCUGCCCUUGACUUUGGGGUAACUUCAGGAAACUCGGGCUCAUAUCCGAUAGGAGCUCCUGCUGCAUGGUGGGGGUUGGUAAGAUUCGGCGGUUGGGGCUGGACUCGCGGCUUAUGAGCUUGUUGGGGGGGUAGUGGCUUACCAAGGCUUUGACGGGUAGCCGGCCUGAGCGGGUGACCGGGCACAUUGGGACUGAGAGACGGCCCAGACGCCUACGGGAGGCAGCAGUGGAGAGUAUGGCACAAUGGGCGGAAGCCUGAUGCAGCAGCGCCGCGUGCGGGAUGACGGCCUUCGGGUUGUAAACCGCUUUCGCCUGUGACGAAGCGUGAGUGACGGUAAUGGGUAAAGAAGCACCGGCUAACUACGUG
rnacentral:rRNA from 1 species